rnacentral:rRNA from 1 species
GACGAACGCUGGCGGCGUGCUUAACACAUGCAAGUCGAACGGGGCGAAGUGAUAGCUUGCUAUUAUGGAGCCUAGUGGCAAACGGGUGAGUAACGCGUAGGCAACCUGCCCUUCAGAUGGGGGACAACACCUCGAAAGGGGUGCUAAUACCGAAUGACGUUUCCUAGUCGCAUGACCUGGAAACCAAGGCCGGGCAACCGGUCACUGAAGGAUGGGCCUGCGUCUGAUUAGCUAGUUGGUGGGGUAACGGCCCACCAAGGCGACGAUCAGUAGCCGACCUGAGAGGGUGACCGGCCACAUUGGGACUGAGACACGGCCCAAACUCCUACGGGAGGCAGCAGUGGGGAAUAUUGCACAAUGGGGGAAACCCUGACCCAGCAACGCCGCGUGAAGGAAGAAGGGCCUCGGUUGGUAAACUUCUUUAAGUGGUAGAGUAGAAGA